rnacentral:rRNA from 1 species
GACGAACGCUGGCGGCGUGCUUAACACAUGCAAGUCGAGCGGUAAGGCCCUUUCGGGGGUACACGAGCGGCGAACGGGUGAGUAACACGUGGGUGACCUGCCCUCAGCUGUGGGAUAAGCCUGGGAAACCGGGUCUAAUACCGGAUAUGACUCCAUGACGCAUGUUGUGGGGUGGAAAGCCUUGUGCGGCUGAGGAUGGGCCCGCGGCCUAUCAGCUUGUUGGUGGGGGAUGGCCUACCAAGGCGACGACGGGUAGCCGGCCUGAGAGGGCGACCGGCCACACUGGGACUGAGACACGGCCCAGACUCCUACGGGAGGCAGCAGUGGGGAAUCUUGCGCAAUGGGCGAAAGCCUGACGCAGCGACGCCGCGUGAGGGAUGACGGCCUGGUGUAACG